GGGGAAUUUUGCGCAAUGGGGGGAACCCUGACGCAGCGACGCCGCGUGGGUGAUGAAGGCCUUCGGGUUGUAAAGCCCCGUUGGGGGGGAAGAUAAUGACGGUACCCCCUGAGGAAGCCCCGGCUAACUACGUGCCAGCAGCCGCGGUAAGACGUAGGGGGCGAGCGUUGUCCGGAAUUACUGGGCGUAAAGGGCGUGUAGGCGGCCUUUCAAGUCGGCUGUGAAAUACCCCGGCUCAACCGGGGGGGUGCAGUCGAAACUGGGGGGCUUGAGUGCAGGAGAGGAGGGUGGAAUUCCCGGUGGAGCGGUGAUAUGCGUAGAUAUCGGGAGGAACACCGGUGGCGAAGGCGACCUUCUGGCCUGUUACUGACGCUGAGGCGCGAAAGCCGGGGGAGCAAAC
rnacentral:rRNA from 1 species